CUUUGGAGGAGUGGAAAUGCCUGAACCCUGCACAGAGGGCUUUAUACAGGGAAGUGAUGUUGGAGAACUACAGGAACCUGGAGUUUGUGGAUAGCUCUUUAAAAUCCAUGAUGGAGUUCUCAUCAACUGGGCACGGUAAUACAGGAGAAGUGAUUCACACAGGGACGUUGCAAAUACAUGAAAGUCAUCACACUGGAGAUUUUUGCUUCCCAGAAAUCAAGAAAGAUAUUCAUCACUUUGAGUUUCAGUGGCAAGAAAUUUAAAGAAAUGGCCAUGAAGCACCCAUGACAGAAACCAAAGAGUUGACAGGUAGUACAGACUGACGUGAUCAAAGACAUGCUGGAAACAAGCCUAUUAAAGAUCAGCUUGGAUCAAGCUUUCAUUCGCAUCUGCCUGAACUCCACAUGUUUCAGACCCAAGGGAAAAUUGGUAAUCAAGUGGAGAAGUCUAUCAAUGAUGCUUCCUCAGCUUCAACAUCCCAAAUAAUUUGUAGGCUCAAAACCCAUAUUUCUAUUAAGUAUGGGAAGAAUUUCCUCUAUUCUUCAUUAUUCACACAAAUACAAGAAGUACACAUGAGGGAAAAACCUUUCCAAUGUAAUGAGUGUGGCAAAGCCUUUAAUCAUAGCUCAUGUUUAAGGAGACAUCACGUAACCCAUUCAGGAGAGAAACAGUAUAAAUGUGAUGUAUGUGGCAAAGUCUUUCAUCAGAAGCAAUACCUUGCAUGGCACCAUAGUGUUCAUACUGGAGAAAAACCUUACAAGUGUAAUGAGUGUUCCAAGACCUUCAAUCAGAAGUCAUCCCUUCAGUGUCAUCAUAGACUUCAUACUGUACAGAAACAUUACAAAUGUGAAGAAUGCAACAAAGUUUAGAGUUGAGGAUCACAACUUGAAACACACAGGAGAAUUCAUACUGGAGAAAAACCAUACAAACGUAAGGUUUGUGACAAGGCUUUCUGGGAUAAUUCAUGCCUUUCAUGCCGUAAGAGUUCAUACUGGAGAGAAAUGUUACACAUGUAACGAAUGUGGCAAGGCUUUUAGUAGAAAAGCAAACCUUGCACAUCAUGGACUUCAUACUGGAGGGAAAUCUUACAAAUGUAAGGGUUGUGACAAGGUUUUCCACCAUGAUUUAUGCCUUGCACAACAUCAGAGAGUUCAUACUGGAGAGAACCUUACACAUUUCACGAGUAUGGAAAGACCUUUGCUCAAAAUUCAGCCCUUGUAAUGCAUAAGGCAAUUCAUACUGGAAAGAAACCUUACACAUGUAAUGAAUGUGGCAAGGUUUUUAGUAGAAAAGCACACCUUGCAUGUCAUCAUAGACUUCAUACUGUCUAAGGUUUCUAAUCAACAAUCAAACCUUGCACAACAUCAGAGAGUUUAUACUGGAGAGAAACCUUACAAGUGUAAUGAGUGGGGCAAAGCCUUAAGUGGGAAGUCGUCACUUUUUUAUCAUCAAGCAAUCCAUGGUGUAGGGAAACUUUGCAAAUGUAAUGAUUGUCACAAAGUCUUCAGUAAUGCUACAACCAUUGCAAAUCACUGGAGAAUCCAUAAUGAAGACAGAUCUUACAAGUGUAAUAAAUGUGGUAAAAUUUUCAGACAUCGAUCAUAUCUUGCAGUUUAUCAGCGAACUCAUACUGGAGAGAAACCUUACAAAUAUCAUGACUGUGGCAAGGUCUUCAGUCAAGCUUCAUCCUAUGCAAAACAUAGGAGAAUUCAUACAGGAGAGAAACCUCACAAGUGUGAUGAUUGUGGCAAAGUCUUGACUUCACGUUCACACCUCAUUAGACAUCAGAGAAUCCAUACUGGACAGAAAUCUUACAAAUGUCUUAAGUGUGGCAAGGUCUUCAGUCUGUGGGCACUCCAUGCAGAACAUCAGAAAAUUCAUUUUUGAGAUAACUGUUCCAAAUACAGUGACUAUAGAAGAUCAUAAAGCUUUAAUUGACAUUAGAGCCAAAUAGGCAUUGACUUGAGAUUGAGUUGACUUAACCUUGAGUUUAAGAAUUAAUUUACAUUAAAGUGUUUAUGUUAAGAAGAUUGGGCCAGGUGGGGUGGCUCAUGCCUGUAAUCCCAGCACUUUGGGAGCCCAAGGCUGAUAGAUCACAGCCACACCUGGCUAUGAGAGUGUGUAGGUGGCCGUUGGGGUGGGACCUGAUUAGAAGGGGCAGGGCCUUGAACAGAAUCUGGGCGGGGCAAGAAUGAGGAGGCUGCCUGGAGGCCGGGCCAGAGGGUGAUCGUCAUCUUGAGGGCAAGGUCUGGAAGUGGUGUUUUGAAGGGCAGGGUCUCGAGGGGGCGGGUCCUGGCUUUCUCCUCAGCUGGACCCCAGGUGUCGUCUGCUGUCAUCCUCUUGCCCUGCAGGACUAGAUUCUCCGGGUACUAAUUGGUGGAUAGUUUCUGAUGUGCCGUGAUAUUACCCCUAAUAUCACAGGGAUGCCUCCUGUCCAUUUUAGAGACUUGCUCUGUCGCCCAGGCUGGAGGGCAGUGGCGCGAUCUCGGCUCAUUGCAAGCUCCGCCUCCCGGGUUCAUGCCAUUCUCCUGCCUCAGCCUCCCGAGUAGCUGGGACUACAGGCGCCCGCCACCAUGCCUGGCUAAUUUUUUGUAUUUUCAGUAGAGACGGGGUUUCACUGUGUUAGCCAGGAUGGUCUCGAUCUCCUGACCUCGUGAUCCGCCCGCCUCGGCCUCCCAAAGUGCUGGGAUUACAGGCGCGAGCCACCGCGCCCGGCCCCUAAGUUAAUAUUUCAAACAAUCGAAGGUAAAACAACAUAUUGUGUUGGGCCACCUGUACUGAACGCUGAAUCGUUUUUCCUCUUAAGUUGAAAAUGGUUUUAAUGCAAAGCGCCUUUUUUGAGCAGGUAGAGUCACGCAUCCGGCAGGCGGGGCGAGCUCCCCUCUGUCUGGGGCAGGGUGGGGGAGAGGGGCAGGGACCUCGGUAAAGGGGUGGAGUGGCGCGCUGGUUGCCGCGGGCACUGGCAAUUAGAAGGGAUUAUUAAACUAAGCAAGGUCCUGGGUUGUUUGAGUGGAUAAUGGAAACUGAAAGGUGACGUGCAAAACUGCCUAUUACUCCCAGGAGUGGAGGAUAAUUUCAUAUUUCAUGGAAAUAAACUCAGGGCCCGGAGCGGUGGCUCACACCUGUAAUCCCAGCACUUUGAGAGGCCAAGGAGGGAGGAUCGCUUAAGCCCAGGAAUUCGAAAUCAGCCUAGGCAACAUAGUAAGACCUCAUCUCUACUAAAAAUAAAAAAAAACAGCCAGGUGUGUUAGUCCACACCUGUGGUCCCAGCUGCUUGGGGUGCUGAGGUGGGAGGAUCACUUGAGCCAGAAAGUUGGAGGCUGCAGUGAGCUCUGAUCUUGCCACCACACUCCAGCCUGGGUGAAAAAGCUAGACCCUGUCUCAAACAAGCAAAUAAAUGAGAGGUAUAAGUCCUCCUUUAAAAGUAAAGGAAGAGAUUUUUCUUUCCUUUUGUCUCUUAGAACAUUCAAUUAGAAAAUUUGUAAAUUCAUUUUCUCUGUCUUCUGAGGUUUUUUUUUUUAGACAGAGUUUUUCUCUUGUUACCCAGGCUUGAGUGCAAGCCACGAUCUCGCCUCACCACAACCUCCGUCUCCCGAGUUCAAGCGAUUCUCCUGCCUCAGCUUCCCGAGUAGCUGGGAUUACAGGUAUGAACCACUAUGCCCGGCUAACUUUGUUUUUUUUUUUUAGAAAUUAAACCUUUUUUCAGCUUAAUGACCCAGGGGUGUAUUUUUGAAGGACUUGGGAGCUCUCUUUGAAAGGCAAACAACAAGGGAAACAGUACCUUUAUCUCAGUAGGAAAUUAAAUAAUUCAAACAUCAAAUAACUUCAAUUUAAGGCUAUGGACUUUGAGAUAAUUCUGAGCCUUGAGAGGAAUGUGGUCAGGCAACCUGAGUCCAGUGGAAUGCAGGUGCAACUUCUAAGAGUUUUCCUGUAAGUAAUUAAGAAGACUAAGUAGCCCCAGAGAUAAGACCUCCUCGGAUCAUUGUCCCUUCUUAUGUAGUGAUAAAGUAACCUUCCUUGAAGUGUAUCUAUCCGUAAUCAAUCAAGUUGCUGCAGCCUAUGCACUGGCCCAGAAUAAAAAACGUGGUGAUUCUGCUAAAGCUUCUCUGUCUUUCCCUGUGUGUGAAAUCUUAACGUCUCUACUUGGGAACGCUGAUCCCAUUCAUUUAGAGUUGAUGUUUCCACGUGGCUAUUUCCAAGCUUUGCCUUCAAAUAAAUUCUGUACUUAAUCAUAUAUUCUAAAUUUUAUUAUUUACUGCUGACAUCAGUUUCUGUCGGAUUGUAGGAGCCUCACCAGAGAGGGCCCCUGUCGCCAUGUUGUAAAACUCACACUUGCCAAAAGUUGUGGGUUAGGGUUUCUCCCCCUCCCUCAGGAUGACGCUAGUUAGCUGACACAGAUGGUCACCUCCAUUACCAAGUAGAGUCAGGAUGAACUAUGUGUGACUGUUCAACUAUGUGUCCUCUUCCCUGAGGACUGAUUAGUGUUUAUCUUGAAAACAUGUCCUUAAUGGGUUGUAUAGAACACUGAAGCAUCUGAUUUCAAACUCUUAGCUCUUUUCCUCUAUUUCCCAUCACAUUCUGGUCUAAGGCUUAUUUAUUAAUAAAAUGAUUUUUAUUUCUUUAUUA
rnacentral:lncRNA from 1 species